rnacentral:rRNA from 1 species
AACGAACGCUGGCGGCAUGCCUAACACAUGCAAGUCGAACGAGACCUUCGGGUCUAGUGGCGCACGGGUGCGUAACGCGUGGGAACCUGCCCUUAGGUUCGGAAUAACUCCCCGAAAGGGGUGCUAAUACCGGAUAAUGUCUUCGGACCAAAGAUUUAUCGCCUUUGGAUGGGCCCGCGUUGGAUUAGCUAGUUGGUAGGGUAAAAGCCUACCAAGGCGACGAUCCAUAGCUGGUCUGAGAGGAUGAUCAGCCACACUUGGACUGAGACACGGCCCAGACUCCUACGGGAGGCAGCAGUGGGGAAUAUUGGACAAUGGGGGAAAGCCUGAUCCAGCAAUGCCGCGUGAGUGAUGAAGGCCGUAGGGUUGUAAAGCUCUUUUACCCGGGAUGAUAAUGACAGUACCGGGAGAAUAAGCACCGGCUAACUCCGUG